AUUGAACGCUGGCGGCAGGCCUAACACAUGCAAGUCGAGCGGGAACUUCGGUUCUAGCGGCGGACGGGUGAGUAAUGCGUAGGAAGCUACCCGACAGAGGGGGAUACCAGUUGGAAACGACUGUUAAUACCGCAUAAUGUCUACGGACCAAAGUGUGGGACCUUCGGGCCACAUGCUGUCGGAUGCGCCUACGUGGGAUUAGCUAGUUGGUGAGGUAAUGGCUCACCAAGGCGACGAUCCCUAGCUGGUUUGAGAGGAUGAUCAGCCACACUGGAACUGAGACACGGUCCAGACUCCUACGGGAGGCAGCAGUGGGGAAUAUUGGACAAUGGGCGCAAGCCUGAUCCAGCCAUGCCGCGUGUGUGAAGAAGGCCUUCGGGUUGUAAAGCACUUUCAGUAGGGAGGAAGGGGUUGUAGUUAAUAGCACAGCAUUUUGACGUUACCUACAGAAGAAGCACCGGCUAACUCUGUGCCAGCCGCCGCAGUAACAC
rnacentral:rRNA from 1 species